rnacentral:rRNA from 1 species
AUUGAACGCUGGCGUCAGGCCUAACACAUGCAAGCCGAACGGUAACAGGAAGCAGCUUGCUGCUUCGCUGACGAGUGGCGGACGGGUGAGUAAUGUCUGGGAAGCUGCCUGAUGGAGGGGGAUAACUACUGGAAACGGUAGCUAAUACCGCAUAAUGUCGCAAGACCAAAGAGGGGGACCUUCGGGCCUCUUGCCAUCGGAUGUGCCCAGAUGGGAUUAGCUUGUUGGUGGGGUAACGGCUCACCAAGGCGACGAUCCCUAGCUGGUCUGAGAGGAUGACCAGCCACACUGGAACUGAGACACGGUCCAGACUCCUACGGGAGGCAGCAGUGGGGAAUAUUGCACAAUGGGCGCAAGCCUGAUGCAGCCAUGCCGCGUGUAUGAAGAAGGCCUUCGGGUUGUAAAGUACUUUCAGCGGGGAGGAAGGGAGUAAAGUUAAUACCUUUGCUCAUUGACGUUACCCGCAGAAGAAGCACCGGCUAACUCCGUG